ensembl:snRNA U6 U6 spliceosomal RNA
GUUCGCUUCGGCAGCACAUAUACUAUAAUUGGAAUGAUACAGAGAAGAUUAGCAUGGCCCCUGCGCAAGGAUGACAAGCAAAUUGGACAUACACAUGGUGGGCAU